UUCAUUUAUGGCGAUGCCGAACAGGGAACAACUGAGUGUUGACCCCUGCGGCACACCAUUUUCUAAAACAUACUCUUUGGAGUUGAUAUCGCCGAUUCUUACACAGAACUUCCUAUCCUCUAAAAAGGAUUUUAUAAAUUUAGGUAAAUUCCCUCGAAGAUUGUUUUUAUACAUAUUUUGCAAUAUUCCAUAUCUCCAAGUCAUGUCAUAAGCACCUUUUAUAUCGAAGAAGACCGCAACCAGAUGUUCACCACUGUCAAAUGCCCUCAGAAUUCUGUCUGUCAGUUUGACCAGAUGGUCUACCGUUGACCGUCCUUUCCGAAAACCAGUUUGGUAAGGCACGUAUACGUUAUUGCUUUCGAGAAAUGUUUGUAGCCGCACAUUAACCAUUUUUUCUAGCAGUUUUCCCAAGCAAGAUGUCAAACUAAUUGGGCGAUAACUUUGUGCCUGCAACGGAUCUUUUCCUGGUUUCGGUAUAGGAAUUACGAUGGCUUGCUUCCAUUCUGAGGGAACUACAGUGGCGAAGCAUCUGGUUAUGGAUAGCGUCUUCUCCCGGUGAACAUGACUUGGUGUUACGGAUUGCUGCCUCCAAUUCUUCUACAGUAAAAGGUUUGGUAUCUAGAA